rnacentral:rRNA from 1 species
UGGCUGUUGUCAGCUCGUGUCGUGAGAUGUUGGGUUAAGUCCCGCAACGAGCGCAACCCUUAUCUGCUGUUACCAGCGCGUCAUGGCGGGGACUCUGCAGAGACUGCCGGUGAUAAACCGGAGGAAGGUGGGGACGACGUCAAGUCAUCAUGGUCCUUACGCCCAGGGCUACACACGUGCUACAAUGGCCAGGACAAAGCGCUGCAAGGCCGCGAGGCGGAGCGAAUCGCAAAAACCUGGUCCAAGUUCGGAUUGCAGUCUGUAACUCGACUGCAUGAAGUCGGAAUCGCUAGUAAUCGUGGGUCAGCUACACCACGGUGAAUACGUUCCCGGGCCUUGUACACACCGCCCG